rnacentral:tRNA from 1 species
GUUCCGGUGGUCCAAUGGAUAUGAUUGCAGAUUCCGAUUCUGCAGAUGUGGGUUCGAUUCCCGCCCGGAAUG